rnacentral:rRNA from 1 species
AGAGUUUGAUCAUGGCUCAGAUUGAACGCUGGCGGCAUGCUUUACACAUGCAAGUCGAACGGUAACAGGCCGCAAGGUGCUGACGAGUGGCGAACGGGUGAGUAAUGUAUCGGAACGUGCCCAGUCGUGGGGGAUAACGCAGCGAAAGCUGCGCUAAUACCGCAUACGAUCUAUGGAUGAAAGCGGGGGACCGUAAGGCCUCGCGCGAUUGGAGCGGCCGAUAUCAGAUUAGGUAGUUGGUGGGGUAAAGGCUCACCAAGCCAACGAUCUGUAGCUGGUCUGAGAGGACGACCAGCCACACUGGGACUGAGACACGGCCCAGACUCCUACGGGAGGCAGCAGUGGGGAAUUUUGGACAAUGGGCGCAAGCCUGAUCCAGCAAUGCCGCGUGCAGGAAGAAGGCCUUCGGGUUGUAAACUGCUUUUGUACGGAACGAAACGGUCCUGGUUAAUACCUGGGGCUAAUGACGGUACCGUAAGAAUAAGCACCGGCUAACUACGUGCCA